ensembl:ncRNA C25F6.25 ncRNA
CAAUCUCUCUGUCACACAAACAGUUAGUGUGGAGCUUUGAGCAAACGAAUGACGUGAAAGACAAUAGCCUAACUGUCAACAGCGAGUUAGAAAGCGCCAAGAAGCAUCUCAUCCAUUCUGUUCAGGGGAUUCCUUUUCUGUACAUG